GGAUGUGGGGGUCUUUUUGCUGGUCUUCUCAGGUCAGCUCCCCUGAAAUGCAUUAGCGGAACAAUUUGUGGACCGUUCAUUGGUGUGAUAACUAUCUACGCUAUUGACGUGAAGCAGGUUCAGCUUCUAACAGUCCAUUGACUUGGACAAAUUUUCAUUAAUGUGACCUCAAAUCAGGUAGGACUACCCGCUGAACUUAA
rnacentral:misc_RNA from 1 species